rnacentral:rRNA from 1 species
UACAGAGACGGCGAGCGUUGUUCGGAUUCAUUGGGCGUAAAGGGUGCGCAGGCGGCCUGUUAAGUCGGAUGUGAAAUCUCAUAGCUCAACUAUGAUAGGUCAUUCGAAACUGGCGGGCUCGAGGACUGGAGAGGAGACUGGAAUGGUCGGUGUAGCGGUGAAAUGCGUAGAGAUCGACCAGAACACCGGUGGCGAAGGCGGGUCUCUGGACAGUUCCUGACGCUCAGGCACGAAAGCCAGGGGAG